AUGCAUGUGUAAGUUCAGCUUUUGUAUAGUGAAACCGCGGAUGGCUCAUUAAAUCAGUUAUAGUUUCAUUAGACAUAAAGUACAUGGAUAUCUGCAGUAACUCUGUAGUUAAUACACGCACGAUGCCUGGAGACGGGUAUUCAAUUGUAUAAGGGAUCUUCGCUUUGUUAACUCAUUGCCCAUUUGUGAAUAUAUGUAACUGACUUAGUCCCAAGCCUUUGCGCAGGGGCAAUAAAUGAGAAGUUUCUGCCCCAUCAACUUUCGACGGUAGGGUAUUUUCCUACGGUGGUUGUAACGGGUAACGGGGAAUCAGGGUUCGAUUCCGGAGAGGGAGCUUGAGAGAUGGCUACCACAUCUAAGGAAGGCAGCAGGCGCGUAAAUUACCCAAUUGCGGAUAGCAGAGGUAGUGACAAAAAAUAACGAUGCGGUACAUUAUGUAUUGUGAUUGGAAUGGAAUGAUUGUAAAGCAUUUUUUGAGGAGCAAGUGGAGGGCAAGUCUGGUGCCAGCAGCCGCGGUAAUACCAGCCUUCACAAGCAUAUACAAAUGUUGUUGCGUUUAAAAAGCUCGUAGUUGAAUUUGUUGCGUCUCCUUUUUUUAGCCUACGGGCCCAGAUUGGGGGCGUAUCAGUCCGCCUUGCGCUUAUUUGCACUUCAUUGUGUUGAGUGGGCAAUAUGCAUAUACAACUUUGAGAAAAUUUGAGUGUUUAAAGCAGCCUUUGGGUUUGAAUGCCGUAGCAUGGAAUUGUAGAAAAUGACUUACGGUCCAUUUUGUCGGUCAGGAACUGUAGUAAUGAUUAAAAAGGACAGGCGGGGACAUUCGAAUUGUUGCGUUAGAGGUGAAAUUCUUGGAUCGCAGCAAGACGAACCAAAGCGAAAGCAUUUGUCAAGAAUGUUUUUGUUAAUCAAGAACGAUAGUCAGAGUAUUGAAGAGGAUUAGAUACCCUCGUAAUUCUAACUGUAAACGAUACAGGCUUGAGAUCCGUUAUUUUUAGUGCAGAUUUGAUGGGAAGUUAUCCGGUAAACCAAAGCUAAUAUGUUACGGGGGAAGUAUGGUUGCAAAAUUGAAACUUAAAGGAAUUGACGGAAGGGCACCACCAGGAGUGGAGCUUGCGGCUUAAUUUGACUCAACACGGGAAAACUCACCAGAACCAGACAUGACAAGGAUUCACACGAUGUUUUUUUCUGAUGAUUUCAUGGGUGGUGGUGCAUGGCCGUUCCUAGUUAGUGGAGUGAUCUGUCUGGUUGAUUCCGAUAACGAACGAGAUUUUAUCCAUCUUAGUAGGAUUCGCUUUUUAUGGCGAAGUCUUCUUAGAGGAACUAUGAGGAAUGAAUAAUACCCCAAGGAAGUUGGGUCAUAACAGGUCUGUGAUGCCCUUAGAUGUUCUGGGCUGCACGCGUGCUACACUGAUGCUAACAAAAUGUUUAUAUCUUGUUCGCUAUGGAUUAGGUAAUCAAGAAAUAAGUUUUCAUGCUUGGGAUCGGUAAUUGAAAUUUUGUCGUGAACGAGGAAUUCCUAGUAAGCACUGGUCAGCAGCCAAUGUUGAUUAUGUCCCUGCCCUUUGUACACACCGCCGUCGCUACUACUGAUUGGGCGUUCAAGUGAGAGACUUGGAUGUUUGAUGCUCGAUGACCGUCGUGGUAUCAGGAUGAAAAGACUCAAGCUUGAGUGUCUA
rnacentral:rRNA from 1 species